GGCGGGGUGACGGCCCACCAAGACAACGAUGGAUAGGGGUUCUGAGAGGAAGGUCCCCCACAUUGGAACUGAGACACGGUCCAAACUCCUACGGGAGGCAGCAGUGAGGAAUAUUGGUCAAUGGCCGGAAGGCUGAACCAGCCAUGCCGCGUGAAGGUCAGUGCCCUAUGGGCGUUAAACUUCUUUUGUGCGGGAGCAAUAAUGGUCACGUGUGGCCAGACGAGAGUACCGUACGAAUAAGCAUCGGCUAACUCCGUGCCAGCAGCCGCGGUAAUACGGGGGAUGCAAGCGUUAUCCGGAUUUAUUGGGUUUAAAGGGUGCGUAGGCUGUGAGGUAAGUCAGCGGUGAAAUGCCCCCGCUCAACGGGGUGAAGUGCCAUUGAUACUGCCUUGCUGGAAUGCGGAUGCCGUGGGAGGAAUGUGUGGUGUAGCGGUGAAAUGCAUAGAUAUCACACAGAACACCGAUUGCGAAGGCAUCUCACGAAUCCGCGAUUGACGCUGAUGCACGAAAGCGUGGGUAUCAAACAGGAUUAGAUACCCUGGUAGUCCACGCUGUAAACGAUGAUGACUAACCGUCG
rnacentral:rRNA from 1 species